AAAAUUUUAAGUUAAAUUUAAACUAAUAAUCUUCAAAAUUAUCAAUAUAUAAUCUAUAUAAGUUUUA
rnacentral:tRNA from 1 species